AUAGGAGUAAGUUAAGUUAAACUAUUAAUUUUCAAAAUUAAAAAUUUUACCUAUA
rnacentral:tRNA from 1 species